rnacentral:rRNA from 1 species
CCUACGGGAGGCAGCAGUGAGGAAUAUUGGUCAAUGGACGAGAGUCUGAACCAGCCAAGUAGCGUGAAGGAGGAAUGCCCUAUGGGUUGUAAACUUCUUUUAUAAAGGAAUAAAACGAGGCACGUGUGCCUUUUUGCAUGUACUUUAUGAAUAAGGAUCGGCUAACUCCGUGCCAGCAGCCGCGGUAAUACGGAGGAUCCGAGCGUUAUCCGGAUUUAUUGGGUUUAAAGGGAGCGUAGAUGGGUUGUUAAGUCAGUUGGGAAAGUUUGCGGCUCAACCGUAAAACUGCAAUUGAUACUGGCAGUCUCGAGUACAGUUGAGGUAAGCGGAAUUCGUGGUGUAGCGGUGAAAUGCUUAGAUAUCACGCAGAACCCCGAUUGCGAAGGCAGCUUACUAACCUCUGACUGACAUUGAUGCUCGAAAGUGUGGGUAUCAAACAGGAUUAGAUACCCCUGUAGUC